UUGCUCAGUAGGCAGUGUAGAUCCUGUGUAGCAAUCAGCAGCUACAUCUGGCUACUGGGUCUCUG
rnacentral:pre_miRNA from 1 species